GACAGAGGCCUCAAGCGUUUAGGCGGAAUCACUGGGCUUAAAGCGUGUGUAGGCGGGUCGUUAAGUACCUUGUGAAAUCCCACGGCUCACCCGUGGAACUGCUGGGUAUACUGGGCGAUCUUGGGCCAUUUAGGGGCAACUGGAACAAGCGGUGGAGCGGUGAAAUGCGUAGAUAUCGCUUGGAACGCCAAAGGGUGAAAACAGGGUUGCUGG
rnacentral:rRNA from 1 species